rnacentral:tRNA from 1 species
GCGCUCGUAGCUCAGCUGGAUAGAGUACCUGGCUACGAACCAGGCGGUCAGAAGUUCGAAUCCUCUCGAGCGCGCCA